rnacentral:rRNA from 1 species
CCUACGGGAGGCUGCAGUGGGGAAUAUUGCACAAUGGGGGAAACCCUGAUGCAGCGACGCCGCGUGAGUGAAGAAGGAUUUCGGUACGUAAAGCUCUAUCAGCAGGGAAGAAAAUGACGGUACCUGACUAAGAAGCCCCGGCUAACUACGUGCCAGCAGCCGCGGUAAUACGUAGGGGGCAAGCGUUAUCCGGAUUUACUGGGUGUACAGGGAGCGUAGACGGCAGCGCAAGUCUGAAGUGAAAUCCAAUGGCUUAACCAUGGAACUGCUUUGGAAACUGUGCAGCUGGAGUGCAGGAGAGGUAAGCGGACUUCCUCGUGUAGCGGUGAACUGCGUAGAUAUUAGGCGGAUCCCCAGUGGCGCAGGCGGCUUACUGGACUGUACCUGACGUUGAGGCUCGAAAGCGUGGGGAGCAAACAGGAUUAGAUACCCUUGUAGUC